GGGGCUGUAGCUCACCUGGGAGAGCGCCUGCUUUGCAAGCAGGAGGUAGAGGGUUCGAGCCCCUUCAGCUCCACCA
rnacentral:tRNA from 1 species